CACUCAACACCGUCUCAGCCAGUCGAAGUUGCUUGAUCUCAAGUGGAAGUGACAUCUUCCCGCCGGGUGACCGGGGAGAUGUUCCUUUUGUCCUGCUCCAGGAAUUCAAGAUGGCUGCAAGACCACAGCCAGGAUUUGUAUCGAAGGACUUGUAUAUGGGUGCGGAGGUCCCCGUUUACCCGACGGUGACCCCAUUAGACGGUGACAAAUGUCCCUGGCAACGGAGUUCGCAUCCCACCUGGCGGCCUAAAGCGUCUGCCCGGUCGGUGGAACGUAUGGCUGAAGUCCAGGUUGGGACCUGCACAGGAAAAGGUGGAAAAACUGAGUGCCUUUCUGGGUACUUCAUCUGGAUAAGAACCGAAGUAUGAGAUCCCGCUUGUCUUUUCCAGACACAAAGAAACUAUACGGCAUUUUGCGUUACAUGGAUCCCCUGGGCCACUUAAACACAUCCAUCACAUCCUUUGGAGGGCUCCAGAACAGAACCUACAGGAGGACGGGUGGCUUGCUAACAAUCUGAAACACCGAAGGCAGGUUUGGAGGGAAGGUGAGGGUGUCCACCCACAGCAUUUCUUUACAUAUCUAUGUACGUAACUAUAAAUCGGUUCUUUACCUUAAUAUCUGUCUCCCCCUCUAGACUGUAAACUCAAAGCUAGUUGUGAACAGGGAA